rnacentral:rRNA from 1 species
CCUACGGGUGGCAGCAGUGAGGAAUAUUGGUCAAUGGGCGCGAGCCUGAACCAGUCAAGUCGCGUGAGGGAAGACGGUCCUAUGGAUUGUAAACCUCUUUUGUCGGGGAGUAACAGACGCCACGCGUGGCGUUCCGAGAGUACCCGAAGAAUAAGCAUCGGCUAACUCCGUGCCAGCAGCCGCGGUAAUACGGAGGAUGCGGGCGUUAUCCGGAUUUAUUGGGUUUAAAGGGAGCGCAGGCGGAAGAUCAAGUCAGCGGUAAAAUUGAGGGGCUCAACCUCUUCGAGCCGUUGAAACUGGUGUGCUUGAGUGAGUGGGAAGCAGGCGGAAUUCGUGGUGUAGCGGUGAAAUGCAUAGAUAUCACGCAGAACUCCGAUUGCGAAGGCAGCAUACCGGCGCUCAACUGACGCUCAUGCACGAAAGUGUGGGUAUCGAACAGGAUUAGAUACCCCAGUAGUC